UACGUAGGGUGCAAGCGUUAAUCGGAAUUACUGGGCGUAAAGCGCGCGUAGGUGGUUUGUUAAGUUGAAUGUGAAAUCCCCGGGCUCAACCUGGGAACUGCAUCCAAAACUGGCAAGCUAGAGUAUGGUAGAGGGUGGUGGAAUUUCCUGUGUAGCGGUGAAAUGCGUAGAUAUAGGAAGGAACACCAGCGGCGAAGGCGACCACCUGGACUGAUACUGACACUGAGGUGCGAAAGCGUGGGGAGCGAACAGG
rnacentral:rRNA from 1 species